rnacentral:lncRNA from 1 species
GAGCAAACCUCAUUCUCCCCAGUUGAAAAAAUUUAUGAACAAGAAAUUAUCAUUGAAAUUAAAUGAUGGCAGACAUAUUGUGAAGAUUUGAUCCCUUUAUGAAUCUUGUGAUAGAUGAAUGUGUGGAGAUGGCGACUAGUAGGCAACAGAACAAUAUUGGAAUGGACGUAAUAUGAGGAAAUAGUAUCGUCAUGUUAGAAGCCUUGGAAUGAGU